rnacentral:rRNA from 1 species
UACAGAGGGUGCAAGCGUUGUUCGGAAUUAUUGGGCGUAAAGGGCGCGUAGGCGGUGCCACAAGUCACCUGUGAAAUCUCCGGGCUCAACUCGGAGCCUGCAGGCGAAACUGUGGUGCUGGAGUGUGGGAGAGGUGCGUGGAAUUCCCGGUGUAGCGGUGAAAUGCGUAGAUAUCAGGAAGAACACCCGUGGCUAAGGCGGCUCUCUAGUACGGUACUGACGCUGAGACGCGAAAGCGUGGGGAGCGAACAGG